CUCCCUUUUGAACCUGAGGGCUGGAGUUCCUAAAAACGUCCAGACCAAGUAAGCUUUUACUUGCUCUCCUCCUGAACCAUGCCCUCUGUACCAAGGCUGUUGGAAAAUUCCUAAGAUUUUACCGCAGAGUGCUUUGUGGUCCUGGGAUGCAGGAAGAUUUGAAUGCUGAUUAUUAUCACAAGUUGCACACAGGUUUCACCUUGAUGCACAGGUCUACGGCCAGGGACCACGGUGUCAGCUCACGCAAUGGCGGUCAGUGCAGCCGCUCCUCCAGGAAUCACCCGCACAGUGGACACUGGGUACUGUACAGCAGCAGAUGGCAGCACCAGCACCGGAAGACUGAGGGUGCUCUCUCCCAAGCAUCUGACCAGGCCCAGGCCUGCUACACCAGCUGUUUAUCAGUCCCAUACUUUGCAUCUAUGAAUCUCGUACACCUGUGUCUAAAACGUCCUUGCCCUGAGUUUUGAAACAUUCUAAUUCACAUGGAUGACACUGUAAUUUUAGCCUUUCUCAAGCAAAAGGGGUUGAAAGCUUAGAGAUAAUUUGAAAUUGUCAAAUCAACCUUGCUUCCAAUGCAAGUCACAAUCUAAGCAGAUACAUUAAAAUUGCUUAACCCAUUUACUUCUUUCUGGUAGCAGAUUUGUUUCUCUGGCACAGCCCACACGUAACUGGUCCCCCGGGCGUCAGCAGCACAGCCCUUCCGAGGUCGGCCUCUCCCAAGGUCACUGUCUGUUUGCAGAAGCAGCAGUCGCGUUUCCGUCUGGCUGUGAUGACCCUUACUCUGUUCUGUUCCUCGGCAGACACACAGACUGCUGAGGUCCAAGUUCCUUGCUCCACACUCGGAACUCCAACCUAGCUUUUCUGGCUGGCAACACUGAUCACCUUCUCAUCAAAAGAACAAGCCUUCCUUUCUUUGAAGUUGCAAAUUUCAUGAAGAGCUUUUUGUGUCUUUGGAGGAAACGGAAGAGUGAUCAAACUUUCUUGUGGUAGUUUUAAUUUCUGUCAGUCUGUGUUUGCAGUACAUGACGAAAAUGUUCAUCGUGGGGAUUUGCUCCAUGUCCGUGAUGUCAGAACUGUUUUUUGUUCCCUUCCUUUCCAUUCCCUUCCCCCACCCUUUCAAAACUUCAUAAAAGCAUGAACGUGGUGUUGGUGGUAGUGAGGAAGUAAAUUAGAUCCCCGUUUUGGAGGUAUUGUGCAUAAGGGAAAGAGGGCAUUUAGAAGGCAAUGGAGGAGGGCAAUUACAGUGUUAAGCCUCUGAGUGGAAUUCCCUAGAAUUUAUAUUCAUUUUUUCUGCAGAAUAUGCAAAG
rnacentral:lncRNA from 1 species